AUUGAACGCUGGCGGCAGGCCUAACACAUGCAAGUCGAACGAGUGGCGGACGGGUGAGUAAUGUCUGGGCAACUGACCGAUGGAGGGGGAUAACUACUGGAAACGGUAGCUAAUACCGCAUACCAUCGGAUGUGCCCAGAUGGGCUUAGCUAGGAGGUGGGGUAACGGAUCACCUAGGCGACGAACCCUAGCUGGUCUGAGAGGAUGACCAGCCACACUGGAACGGAGACACGGUCCAGACUCCGACGGGAGGCAGCAGUGGGGAAUAUUGCACAAUGGGCGAAAGCCUGAUGCAGCCAUGCCGCGUGUAUGAAGAAGGCCUUCGGGUUGUAAAGUACUUUCAGCGGGGAGGUGGUACCCGCAGAAGAAGCACCGGCUAACUCCGUGCCAGCAGCCGCGGUAAUUC
rnacentral:rRNA from 1 species